rnacentral:rRNA from 1 species
CCUUGUACACACCGCCCGUCAAGCCAUGGAAGCCGGGGGUACCCAAAGCCAGUAUUCUAACUUCGAGCAAUCGGAGAGGGAACUGUUUAAGGUAAAACCGGUGACUGAGGCU